rnacentral:misc_RNA from 1 species
UACCAACUAUCACUGCCGGCGAGACUUUCGGCAGCUCUUCCCUGGGCAGACGAUGGCAGCACAAAGUCAGACGACAAAGAGCAGCAGCUUACCGAUGAGGAAUCAAAGAGAGAGAGAGGAAAGAAAAUCGAAUUUUCAAGGCCCUUUUUUGGCCGUUCUAACCAUCCUUCAGCCACCCAACCAGUCCAGAUCGAUGCCCUUCGGCCCAUGAUAGCUCCUAUGGUCGUCGGAUUCGCAUAAAUCGAGGAGAGAUAAAAUGGAUUUUUUCUAGCUUUCUGAUCAGAUUUCUAACGAUCCGAGACCACCAAUGGACUCAACGCAUUGAGACCUUCGA